rnacentral:rRNA from 1 species
AUUGCACGCUGGCGGCAGGCCUAACACAUGCACGUCGAGCGAGCGGCGGACGGGUGAGUAAUGUAUGGGGAUCUGCCUGAUGGAGGGGGAUAACUACUGGAAACGGUAGCUAAUACCGCAUACUAUCGGAUGAACCCAUAUGGGAUUAGCUUGUAGGUGGGGAAACGGCUUACCUAGGCGACGAUCUCUCGCUGGUCUGAGAGGAUGAUCAGCCACACUGGGACUGAGAAAAGGUCCAGACUCCUACGGGAGGCAGCAGUGGGGAAUAUUGCACAAUGGGCGCAAGCCUGAUGCAGCCAUGCCGCGUGUAUGAAGAAGGCCUUCGGGUUGUAAAGUACUUUCAGUCGGGAGGCGUUACCGACAGAAGAAGCACCGGCUAACUCCGUGCCAGCAGCCGCGGUAAUAC